rnacentral:rRNA from 1 species
AAUUUUAUGUAAUAUAUAUAAAACUAUUUNUGCCCAAUGAUUUUUUGAAUGGCCGCAGUACUUUGACUGUGCUAAGGUAGCAUAAUAAAUUGGCUUUUAAAUGAGGUCUAGAAUGAAAGAAUAUUUGGAAAAAGAUUGUCUCUAAGAUUUUUUUAUGAAUUUAUUUUAUUAGGUGAAAAGACCUAACUUUUUAAGAAAGACGAGAAGACCCUUAGAAUUUUUUAAUUUUUUUUUUGUUGGGGUGACAUAUAAACAUUUGAACUUUUUUUUUUAACACGGCGAUUAUUUAAGUUUGAAAAAAUUACCUUAGGGAUAACAGCAUAAUUUUUUUAUUAGAUUAUGACCUCGAUGUUGGACUAGGAACCUAAUGAUUAGUAAUUAAAUUGGUUAGUUCUGUUCGAACUAUUAUCUCCU